UACAGAGGUCUCAAGCGUUGUUCGGAUUCAUUGGGCGUAAAGGGUGCGUAGGUGGCGUCGUAAGUCGGGUGUGAAAUUUCGGAGCUUAACUCCGAAACUACAUUCGAUACUGCGGUGCUUGAGGACUGGAGAGGAGACUGGAAUUUACGGUGUAGCAGUGAAAUGCGUAGAGAUCGUAAGGAAGACCAGUGGCGAAGGCGGGUCUCUGGGCCGAUACUGACGCUGAGGAGCGAAAGCGUGGGGAGCGAACAGG
rnacentral:rRNA from 1 species